GCGGAUGUAGUUUAAUGGUAAAACCUCUGCCUUCCAAGCAGGUGAGUGCCGGUUCGAUUCCGGUCAUCCGCUC
rnacentral:tRNA from 2 species